rnacentral:lncRNA from 1 species
UAAAUUGUUAUAUUCGUUUCAGCAAUAGACAUCAUAGUGGAUACUUCAGGUACAUGAAUCACAUACAUAGUUCAAUGUUCAACUCCUCUAAAGAGGUACAAUACUUAUAAUGAUUUUACACAAAGCCAGAACCACCAUGCUUCAUGACAACACCACACAUAACUACAAAUCAGGAAACCAUAGCUUCUCAUGUUCACUGUCAUCCACUUCUGAGUAGCUAGUUCUUCUGGAUUGCAGAAUAUCCUGGCAUUAAGAAAGAUCACACAUGAGUAGAACAUGCAGACCACAUAGCAAUUGAAUUGAAACACCUUUGUUGUAAGACGCAUAUACUAUAAUAAGAAGGAAACAACUACAAUUAUGAUAAGCCAACCAAAGUGUCAUGACAGUACAGUACAGAGGUAUUUUUUCACAAGACAACCACCCACUAUAGGACAAAGGUUGGACGAAAUGUUCUCAUUGUAGCUUAACAACUAUCAUGACAGUACAAUAGAGGUUAAAAAGCAAGUAUUAUUUCCAGAUAAAGAAUACAAAUGCCACCCUGAAAUAAAAUUUAAAAUUCCAAUGCGUAGCUACACUUUUCUAGGCGCACAUCAAGUAUUGACCAAGUUAUUAAAGUAAAUGAGUAUUCAAUAUAGAUUCAACUUUAGGUAACUCAUUAGCAGUUGGGGAAUUAGAAAAAAGAAAUACAUUUGCAUGAUGCAC